ensembl:lncRNA
AUGAUUGCCAUCUGCUGUGGACAUACGACCAGGCUUACCCAUGGAUGGGGGCUGCCAUGGCUGGAACUGAGAUGCUUUGAGAGAUCGGAAGCCAGGAGUAGGGAGCAGCAUGCUGCAACACUACCUCUACAACCAUCAAGUCCAGAGCAACACUUGCCCCUAGUUGACCUUGAACAGUAUUUGACUCAACAACCACUCACUCCAAGAGAGAAAUAUCUGAGGGCAACAUGGUUGUUCUCUCUGGGAGAUGACCCUUGUGACCCAGGCUUAUCCAGCCCCUGAGGACUAUCACAGUGGUAGCAAUGGUGAGUGAGAGUGAGGAACUCCAGAAAAUGAGGAGUAGGUCAAGUUGGACCAGUGUUUGGGACUGUGUAUUUCCCUAGGGUUCAAGAAUGGGAAAUUAAAGGGCUGGAGCUUCAGAAGUCUUCACACCAGCAACAAGGACAGCCUGGCAAAGAACUGCAGAGAAAGUUGUAAAACAGAAAGUUGCUUUUUUCUAAACCAUCAAAAAUUAAAGAAAAAUUUUGUUCAAGCAUGCUUGAAUAAAAGAAGUUUUGACUUUUUCAACAAGAUAAUUAUCUUUCUAUUCUUUCUGCCAUAAAAUUGUUAUAUGAAGGGUUGACCAAGGAAAAUGCAUCUGGAGGUAUAGGGAAAAGCAACAUAGAGAUACAGCAGGCAGAUAAUAAUAACAACACUAAUAACUUACCAAUUCUAGGCCUUUCAUGAUGCCUUUUGAUAUCAUGUUGACAGUUUUAUAACAUUUGCAGUCCACCUUUUCUAAAUAUUUACUCCUACCUGAAUUGGUAGCAAUAAGUUUGUAUUUUCAAAACUCACAUCUGCUCCUGUGUAUUGCUUUCUCUUUAUUCCAGGUGUCCACUUUUCUCUCAUAUAGAUAACUAAUCUUCCUGAUUUGUCCCUGUCUCUCUCCACUCAAUUCACAAAAGGACAGCCAGAGGAAUUAUUUUAUACUGUAAUCUGGGCCAAGCCCCUCUUCUGUUUGAAACCUGUCAAUCACUCCUGGUCUCAUUUACAGUCAAGGUCAAAGUCAUUAUCAGUGGCCAAAAUCUUGCCCUACUUAUCUCCCUCAGCUUAUCUCUCCUCUCUCUCUCUCUCUCUCUUCUCUUGCUUACCACUCACUCACCUUCAGUCAGGUUGGUCUCUUUGCUGUUCUGAGAAUGUAACAAUUAGCCUCCUUGGUUAAGAACUUUAUACUUGAGUCCCUUUUCCUGUAAAAUGCUCCCAUAUUCACACAUUCUUUUCCCUGAUUUCCUUAGGAAUUAUAAAGAGCAGUAUCUCAGUAAGAAUUCUCCAGUCAUUUUAUUUAAAAUUGAUUUCUCAACACCCACAAAGACAUCUUCUCUCUAUUGGAUGCUUCUGAAUACCAUUAUUACCUUCUAAAAUGCUAUAAAGUCAACCUGCUUGUUUGUUUAUUGCAUUUAUCUUCUCCUUCCUCUCUAUAAAGACAAGGAAUUUUGCCUGAUUUGGUCACUUUCUCUUCACUCUUCUAAUAUCUAAAAAAUGCCUGUCACAGUGUUGGCCCUCAGUUAAUGCCUGAGGCAUUCAUGAAUAAGCAAGUAAAUGAGUGAAUUGUUUAUGCCUCCUGAACUCUUGCAGCUCAAAUUCUAAAGACAGAAACAUCAAAGUCUUCAAUUAUUGUUCUGAUUCUAAAUAUACUAGGAAGUUGUUGAUGAUUUGUGACUGAUCAAGUAAUGUCAGAAGAUAUUUAUGGAAAAUGGAUUGGAAAUUAAUUGAAGUACAGAAAAGCACCUGGAUCCUAAGUGUAUAAUACUGUUUGGAGAUGUGGCCUGUUUGGGGAGAAGAUUAGAGACCAAUUAUUUAGUAAUAAUGUAAACUGGAUCUGCACUAGAGUAACAGAAACACAGGUAGGUUCUUGGCACAUUGAUCCUGAAAAUUUUAUGAAUGAUGUUUCUAGUUUUAUUUUUGUUUUCUUUUCUGUAUUUAUCCAAAUAUUUGGACUUGUGUAGGAGAUUCCCAAAUUAAAACUGAAUUACCAAAAAUGUCUAAUGUUACUAAAUAAUCCAAGUCUACCAUUGGUGAGGUUGUUAACGAGACUUCAGGAAGUUUUCUUCUAGGAGCAAAUGAUUAAUUAUUUUUUAGAAAUUUAUUUGCUGCCAUCAUUUUCACCUGCAGAGGGUAUAACCUGUGGGGCCUACUACCUUAAUAUGUGUGAAAAUGGGAGAUACAUUUAUUCCAUCUGUGCAUAAAACCACAAGGAAACUUACUCAACAAAAUAGAAAAGGAUACUAGUGGGAACAGUAGGUUUUCCCACAUCUUUGGUUCCCAAUGUUUACGGGCAUCCCCUAUCCCAAACCUAAAAAUAGCAAAUUACUCUUCACAGACCAAAACAUACACACGAAAAGCUGGGGAAAAGGGAAAGCAAAUGGGAAGGGAAGAGGAGGGGGUGGAAGUAAAUGAAACGGAAGCAGGCUGACACCUGUUUUCCUGCACAAUGAUCAUUAAAGUCAUCAUAUAUUCUGCCAGAAGCUUUAUUUUAAAUACCCUUGUCUGCUCCCUUCUGGAUUAAAUAGUUUUGAAUAUACAUUUAAUUCCAAUUACUUUCAAUCACAGUCAGUGACUGCAGUUACAUUUAAUAAACAGCUUUAACUUCUUCCAGAAAAAUAAUGAAGGGAAGUACAGGAAAGGCUAUCCCCAUCUUGUUCAUUCAGGAACAUUCAUUACAUCUGAAUAUAAAGUAGUCUUUUUGGUCCCUCAAUUAAUGCAAACUGAUUAAAGCCAGCUAUCACAAUUCUUAAAAUAUAAACAUUUUUUUAAAGUGAUAAAAGGCUUAGAAUAGGCAAUAAUUUGAUAGAGUAGUACUGGCCCCAAGAGGAACUCUCACUAUGAGGCUAAGGUUUAAUCUUCAAAUGGAAAUUUCUGGAUACCUAAGCUAUACUUACAUCAAAUUAAUGUCUUACAAAUAUAAAGGUUAGUAUGUUAUGCUGCUUCAGCUAGCUGUGAAAAUAUGGAUCAGUGUUAAUAAUUGCAAGGUCCAUCUAUGAUACAGCAAAUGUUUUUCUGUUUUUUAAAAUUAGUAUUUAUUGAUUAGUAUAUGGUUAUAUGCUUCACCGGUAUUACUCUAUUAAAUAAAUAUAAUAAUUGUUGCUGAACACAACAAUUGCAUUAUGUUUUCUCUUGAUAGUUAUAUGUGUUUGUUGCAAUGAACAUAAUGAUAAUCCAGAAGUGUUAAGUUCUGACUGUACCAAUAACACUCAUGUUUUUAAACAAAUGGUGUGUUGAUUUAAUUAACAACUGUAGAAUUUAUUCCUAACUACAGAAUCAUUACUGAUAAUUUUUAGAAUAUCAAUAAACAUACAUUUGGUUUAAAAUGCACAUUAUUAGAUGAAAAUGAACAAUGUUUUAAGAUUAUCAUGAUAUUAAGUAUCUGGAAUCAGCUUCAAUACUAUGUCUUGUUAACUACCAAUCAUACAAAUGAUAAUAUGUAUGAUUGGUAAACCAAUCAUACAAUCUAGACAUAAUAGUAACAACAGCCACACUGGACAACGAUCAACAGAAGGCAGAUUGGUGGGGAGUAUAGACACUGGAGAAGGGGAUUUGUACAAAUAAAACUCCCAGUCUUUUGCUUAUGGCACAAGCAGAGGGUCUGCUGUUGUUGGUAGAAUAACUACAGUGUUGUGAGGUAGGAAGUCAGAAAAAUGAAUCCAGGGAAACUAUGGCUACUGAAAGUACUGGAGUUCCUAGAAGGAAAGAAUCAGAGAGGUGAUCACAUAUUCUAUUAUUGACUCCUGAACUCUCUAUAUAUGAUACAGUCUCAAAUCAACUAAACUAAAUACAUAAGAUUGGGUUUAAGAUGGGCUUCUACCCAAGAAACAGAGUGUACAUUUCUAAUUUGUCUAAACUGACUUUGAAACGGCCCAGUUGUUGGAACUAGCAAACAAGUGUUUAAAGUGGCUAUUAUACUUCCUUUCAGUGAAGUGAAGCAAAAUAUGCUUACAUGAAUGAAAAUAUAGGAAAUCUCAGUGAAGAAAUAUAGAUAACGUAAUAUAAAAAACUAAGUAGAAAUUCUAAAACUAUAAAACAAAUAUACAAAAUGUAUUACUGAUGGACUUAACAGUUCAAUGUAAGUAAUAGAUAAUUCAGUGAACUAGGAGAUAAACUGAAAAACAGAAUAAUAAAUCUUAUAAAUGAUUAAGAGAGCCUCAGGGACCUUUGAGAAAAUAUCAAAUGGUCUAACAUACAUGUUAUUAGAGCUCUAGAAGGAAAAUAAAAGAGAAAAUAGACCAGAAAAAAAAACAAAGAACUAAUGUAUGAGGAUUGUCUAAAUUUGAUUUAAGUCAGAAGUUUCCACAUAGAAUAUUCUUAACAAACAAUAAACCGAUGAAAAAAAAAUACAAAAAAAGCUGUGCCUCA